UACCCCAGUGCUGAGUACAGUCCCUGGCAUAUAGUGAGCACUUAGCAAAUACCAUUAAAAAAAAAAUAAUUGAUCCAUUUAAAAUUGGCCAGCUCGUCUAGGUUCCUCCAACCCAUUGCAUGUGGACUCUUCGUGAGCGUGGAAAUACUGAAAAUUCACUCCAAAAACUCCAAAUCAACUUGUUGACAGUGGCAGAAGUAGGAAGAAUUCGUGGUUCAACUGUGGUGCCAUUUUGGAAGUGAAAGCAGUAGCACUCGCCAUUUUCUUGGUGCUGCUUGUGACUUGCUGCUCCGAAGAAGCCAGGAAAGAUGCAGAGCUCUAUUUUCACGGACCAAGUGGGCAAGUGAUGGAGUUUUACCACCAACAGUGCUGUCUUUGAAAUGAAAGACAAUCCCAUUCUCAGCCCAACCUCUCUGUGACCCAUGAUUGGCCAAACUGUAUGCCUCACAAUUAUUUCCUGCUGUGUUCCUGACCUUUGUCCAGGCUUUCUUAUGACCCCAGUGCCCAUCAGCCCUUCUCCCUCCGUCCCAAACCCUCUGCUACUACUUUGAAAAAUGUCAUUUCUAUGGGUUGGCUCCGUCUGCCCCCGGUCCUACAAUUAAAGAUGAGAAAUGGCAAA